rnacentral:rRNA from 1 species
UACAGAGGUCUCAAGCGUUGUUCGGAUUCAUUGGGCGUAAAGGGUGCGUAGGCGGCGCGGUAAGUCGGGUGUGAAAACCUGGGGCUUAACCCUGGGCCUGCAGUCGAUACGGGCGGGCUAGAGUUCGGUAGGGGGAGACUGGAAUUCCUGGUGUAGCGGUGAAAUGCGCAGAUAUCAGGAGGAACACCGGUGGCGAAAGGCGGGUCUCUGGGCCGAUACUGACGCUGAGGAGCGAAAGCGUGGGGAGCGAACAGG